rnacentral:rRNA from 1 species
GAGUUUGAUCCUGGCUCAGAACGAACGCUGGCGGCAUGCUUCAGACAUGCAAGUCGAACGAGAUCUUCGGAUCUAGUGGCGCACGGGUGAGUAACGCGUGGGAACCUACCUUUCAGUUCGGGAUAACAGUUGGAAACGACUGCUAAUACCGUAUACGCCCUCCGGGGGAAAGGUCAGCCGCUGAAAGAGGGGCCCGCGUCUGAUUAGCUUGUUGGUAGGGUAAAAGCCUACCAAGGCUUCGAUCAGUAGCUGGUCUGAGAGGAUGAUCAGCCACACUGGGACUGAGACACGGCCCAGACUCCUACGGGAGGCAGCAGUCGGGAAUAUUGGACAAUGGAGGAAACUCUGAUCCAGCAAUGCCGCGUGUGUGAUGAAGGCCUUAGGGUUGUAAAGCACUUUCAACGGUGAAGAUGAUGACGGUAGCCGUAGAAGAAGCCCCGGCUAACUUCGUGCCAGCAGCCGCGGUAAUACGAAGGGGGCGAGCGUUGUUCGGAAUUAUUGGGCGUAAAGGGCGCGCAGG